UAUACAAACAUAUAAACUUUCUAUAAAUCUUGCCAUAAGAAAAGAAGGUUUUUAUUAAAGGACAAUGGUUCAGUGAUGAAAUAAUUUGUUAUAUAAGAUUUGUAGUGCAAGCAGUGAUUAUUAAAUUUACAUAAGCAAAUUUCUAACUACAUAAAAUGGACAAUCUGUUAGGACAAAUAAUUGAAGGUUACACCAGUUUAAACAGGAUUAUGAUACACAGGUCCCUACUGUAAAUAUUCCCCAAAUCUACUUUCUAAAUAUUAGAGCGCUAAAUAGAAGAUUUAAGCUAUAUCUUAAGAUAUCUACUUCUUUCAGUUUACAUGGAGAAAUCUGGAUUAUAAAUUUAUAAUCUGGGAGCAUCUAGAGUACAAGGAAAAAAGUGAUGGUUAUUUAUAGUAAUAAGCACAUUAAUCCUCAUAUGGUACAGAUCACAGAUUUAAUUACAUGAAUUAUAAUUUAUGAUUUAACUUAUUACUAAAAUACUCUUGCAUAUUCACCUGC
rnacentral:lncRNA from 1 species